AUUGAACGCUGGCGGCAUGCUUUACACAUGCAAGUCGAACGGCAGCAUGGGUGCUUGCACCUGAUGGCGAGUGGCGAACGGGUGAGUAAUGUAUCGGAACAUAUCCGCAAGUGGGGGAUAACGUAGCGAAAGUUACGCUAAUACCGCAUAUUCCCUGAGGGGGAAAGGAGGGGAUCCGCAAGGACCUUUCGCUUACGGAGUGGCCGAUAUCAGAUGAGCUAGUUGGUGAGGUAAAGGCUCACCAAGGCGACGAUCUGUAGCGGGUCUGAGAGGAUGAUCCGCCACACUGGGACUGAGACACGGCCCAGACUCCUACGGGAGGCAGCAGUGGGGAAUUUUGGACAAUGGGGGCAACCCUGAUCCAGCCAUGCCGCGUGAGUGAAGAAGGCCUUCGGGUUGUAAAGCUCUUUCAGCCGGAAAAAAAUCGCAUCACCUAAUACGUGGUGUGGAUGAUGGUACCGGAAGAAGAAGCACCGGCUAACUACGUGCCAGCAGCCGCCGUAAGAC
rnacentral:rRNA from 1 species